CCUACGGGUGGCAGCAGUGAGGAAUAUUGGUCAAUGGGCGCGAGCCUGAACCAGCCAAGUAGCGUGAAGGAUGACUGCCCUACUGGUUGUAAACUUCUUUUAUAAAGGAAUAAAGUGAGGCACGUGUGCCUUUUUGUAUGUACUUUAUGAAUAAGGAUCGGCUAACUCCGUGCCAGCAGCCGCGGUAAUACGGAGGAUCCGAGCGUUAUCCGGAUUUAUUGGGUGUAAAGGGAGCGUAGAUGGGAUGUGAAGUCAGUUGUGAAAGUUUGCGGCUCAACCGUAAGAUUGCAAUGGAUACUGGCAGCCUUGAGUGCAGGAGAGGUAGGCGGAAUUCGUGGUGUAGCGGUGAAAUGCGUAGAUAUCACGAAGAACUCCGAUUGCGAAGGCAGCUUACUAAACUGCCACUGACAUUGAUGCUCGAAAGUGUGGGUAUCAAACAGGAUUAGAUACCCCAGUAGUC
rnacentral:rRNA from 1 species